GAACUAGAAAACAGACAUGGGAAAAGACAGAUUUUCUCUACCAACAGGCAGUGAACAGCAGUUUGCAGAAGUGAGACCCUUCUCCCUUUUCUGGGAUAAGGAGUCCUUUUUUGUACACUCAAGCUGUUAUCUUGGCCUAAGGGAGCAAUACAGUGUUUGAGGAAGAGCACCAAGAUAGGGGACACUAAAACGCAGUACCAAACAGGAAACCAGAGAACCUGUGGCCAGACAUGAAUAGAAAUUAUACCAUGUCACUGAUUUUCAAUGGCAUCUCAAUGAUUUUCAUUUUUGUGAAUAUGCUUUUUCUGAUGAGGAAAAAAGUGGGAAGAGUAAUUAUAUUCUGAGGCUGUCCAUUUUUAAAUAUAAGAAAUGUAUGGUACUGCUUCAGUUAGGGUAAUCAGUUAAAGUACACCUGUGUUAUUUCACAGAAAAUAAAUAAUGCUUAUAUAUGAUA